rnacentral:rRNA from 1 species
GGCCGCGGUACCCUAACCGUGCGAAGGUAGCAUAAUCACUUGUUCUUUAAAUGGGGACUCGUAUCAACGGCACCACGAGGAUCACACUGUCUCCCCUUUCUAAUCAGUGAAACUGAUCUCUCCGUGAAGAAGCGGAGAUUUAACUAUAAGACGAGAAGACCCCAUGGAGCUUUAAACCCGAUAGCACCCCUAUUUAACUUAACCUACAUAUCACUUGGGCCCUGUCUACUCGGCUUUAGGUUGGGGUGACCGCGGAGUACAAAAUAACCUCCACGAAGAACGGAUUUAACUCCUUAUCUAAGAGACACACCUCUAAGAAUUAGCACACUAAUAUUAAAUGAUCCGGUAUUUUAACCGAUCAACGAACCAAGUUACCCUGGGGAUAACAGCGCAAUCCACUUCAAGAGCUCUUAUCGACAAGUGGGUUUACGACCUCGAUGUUGGAUCAGGGUAUCCUAGUGGUGCAGCAGCUACUAAAGGUUCGUUUGUUCAACGAUUAAAACCCU